UGGGGAAUAUUGCACAAUGGGCGCAAGCCUGAUGCAGCCAUGCCGCGUGUGUGAAGAAGGCCUUCGGGUUGUAAAGCACUUUCAGCGAGGAGGAAGGUGGUGGACUUAAUACGUUCAUCAAUUGACGUUACUCGCAGAAGAAGCACCGGCUAACUCCGUGCCAGCAGCCGCGGUAAUACGGGAGGGUGCAAGCGUUAAUCGGAAUUACUGGGCGUAAAGCGCACGCAGGCGGUUUGUUAAGUCAGAUGUGAAAUCCCCGGGCUCAACCUGGGAACUGCAUUUGAAACUGGCAAGCUAGAGUCUCGUAGAGGGGGGUAGAAUUCCAGGUGUAGCGGUGAAAUGCGUAGAGAUCUGGAGGAAUACCGGUGGCGAAGGCGGCCCCCUGGACGAAGACUGACGCUCAGGUGCGAAAGCGUGGGGAGCAAACAGGAUUAGAUACCCCUGGUAGGUCCACGCUGUAAACGAUGUCGAUUUUGGAGGUUGUG
rnacentral:rRNA from 1 species